UACGUAGGUGGCGAGCGUUGUCCGGAUUUACUGGGCGUAAAGAGCGCGCAGGCGGCUGGUCAAGUCCGAUGUGAAAGCUCCCGGCUUAACUGGGAAAUUGCAUCGGAAACUGAUCGGCUGGAAGGUGGGAGAGGGUAGCGGAAUUCCCGGUGUAGUGGUGAAAUGCGUAGAUAUCGGGAAGAACACCCGUGGCGAAGGCGGCUCUCUGGGACGGUACUGACGCUGAGACGCGAAAGCGUGGGGAGCGAACAGG
rnacentral:rRNA from 1 species